AAUGAACGCUGGCGGCGUGCCUAACACAUGCAAGUCGGAUGUGCCGCAAGGUGCAUGGCAGACGGGUGAGUAACGCGUGGGGAACCUACCUCUUCGUGGGGAAUAACGAUCCGAAAGGAUUGGUAAUACCGCAUGAGACCGACGGCUGGGAUGCUGUCGGUGAAAGCUGGGGACCGGAAACGGCCUGGCGCGAGGAGAGGGUCCUGCGUCUGAUUAGCUAGUUGGUGGGUAACGGCCUACCAAGGCAUCGAUCAGUAGCCGGCCUGAGAGGGUGAUCGGCCACACUGGAACUGAGACACGGUCCAGACUCCUACGGGAGGCAGCAGUGGGGAAUUUUGCGCAAUGGACGAAAGUCUGACGCAGCAACGCCGCGUGGGUGAUGAAGGUCUUCGGAUU
rnacentral:rRNA from 1 species